UUGUUCCCUUGAGGAGUGGCUUCCGGAGCUAACGCGUUAAGUCGACCGCCUGGGGAGUACGGCCGCAAGGUUAAAACUCAAAUGAAUUGACGGGGGCCCGCACAAGCGGUGGAGCAUGUGGUUUAAUUCGAUGCAACGCGAAGAACCUUACCUACUCUUGACAUCCACGGAAUUUGGCAGAGAUGCCUUAGUGCCUUCGGGAACCGUGAGACAGGUGCUGCAUGGCUGUCGUCAGCUCGUGUUGUGAAAUGUUGGGUUAAGUCCCGCAACGAGCGCAACCCUUAUCCUUUGUUGCCAGCGCGUUAUGGCGGGAACUCAAAGGAGACUGCCGGUGAUAAACCGGAGGAAGGUGGGGAUGGCGUCAAGUCAUCAUGGCCCUUACGAGUAGGGCUACACACGUGCUACAAUGGCGCAUACAAAGAGAAGCGACCUCGCGAGAGCAAGCGGACCUCACAAAGUGCGUCGUAGUCCGGAUCGGAGUCUGCAACUCGACUCCGUGAAGUCGGAAUCGCUAGUAAUCGUGGAUCAGAAUGCCACGGUGAAUACGUUCCCGGGCCUUGUACACACCGCCCGUCACACCAUGGGAGUGGGUUGCACAAAG
rnacentral:rRNA from 1 species